UACGGAGGGUGCGAGCGUUGUUCGGAAUCACUGGGCGUAAAGGGCGUGUAGGCGGUCUGCUAAGUCUGAUGUGAAAGCCCGGGGCUCACCCCCGGAAGGGCAUUGGAAACUGGCGGACUCGAGUCCCGGAGAGGAGAGUGGAAUUCCUGGUGUAGCGGUGAAAUGCGUAGAUAUCAGGAGGAACACCGGUGGCGAAGGCGGCUCUCUGGACGGUGACUGACGCUGAGACGCGAAAGCGUGGGGAGCAAACAGG
rnacentral:rRNA from 1 species